GGGAAAGUGGCUCAGUGGUAGAGUGCUUGCCUUGCAUGUAUGAGGCUCUGGGUUCGAUUCCUAAGCACCA
rnacentral:tRNA from 1 species